rnacentral:lncRNA from 9 species
CAGCGCGCCCCUUUGAGGGACCGGAGAGGUGGUGCCUCUCCAAACCAGGGGCCACGGUGAACGGGACGGCUUUGGAUUUGGGAGAAAAGGAUUCUCCAACCGCCUAGCGCCAAUUUAAAAAGAAAUGAUGAUGAUGAUUGUUUUAAACAAGUCUUUCUCACUUUGAAUUUGGAAGCAGAUGCUUCUCCAUGUUUCUAUGGGACAGCUGGACUCCUUGGCAGGCAUUGAUUAGGAACUGACAGCAGAGACCCGAGUUUGUGGAUGUUCGGGCUGUUGGAACAGGAAUGGUUUGUGGUUCUGAGAGUUUCUGGAGGUGAUUGUCAUGUGUUAUUUUAUCUGGGGCAGAUUUUUCAAGGUCUCACAGGGCAAGGUAGCUGUGUGGUACUGAUUUCACUGUUUAUUCUGUGCUGAGAAACCUUGUCCCAUCCUUCCAGAGUCUGACGUGCAAGUUAUCAAUACCAAAGCCCUACAUUUUGGGCCUACAGGCCAUAGACGUGUUUUCUUUGGCUUAGUCACUAUGUAUGUAUGUAUGUAUGUAUGUAUUAAUUAUCCCUGGUUUUCACAUGAAAACCUGGAUUGCCAGUCUCUUCUAAAACCGUAGAAGACCUGGCCACAUCUGGCGUGGAGUACAGGCAGCUGGAGCUGAGCAGUAGCUGUUCCAUGGGGGCAGGGGUCAUCAGCUGCCCACUUUGCCCCUAACCCCUCCCUGGCUUCUUUUAUUCUGUUACAUCCUUUGCUGACCCUCCCUGAAGGUCACAGAUCUCCAAUGACCUUCUCCCAUUCCAGCACUCACUCUCAAGGUGAGUCAAACACCUCUCUCCCCGCCCAUCCCAUAGCAUCCUCUGGUGCCCUCUUGCCUCUCAUCCAUGAGACGGCCCUUCCUAGGUUCGACAUGGCUCUCUGCAUCCCUCACCUGCUCUGCGGCUUCAUCUUGCUCCCUCCGAUUUCCUCCACACAGUCAUUCUGAGAAAGGGGAGGUAGCUGUGCUUUUCUUCGCUCUGAGUGGAUUCCAUCCAGCCUCUGCACAGAGCAGGGGUGGAAAGGAAUCUGGAAUCGUCACAGUUGCUUGUGAAUCUGAUUUUCCGUGGCCUUGUUAGGCGCUUUACAUGUUGUGAAAUCCAAGGUAUUUAGGUCAGUGAAA